CCUAGUGUUCGGUACUGUGCCUUGCACGUGUUUAUACUCAGUAGCUUUUGAAUGACAGACUUACAUUGCAAAUACAACAGAUUUCCGUGUCUUAUUAGAAACUGCUUUUCUUGAAUUACUACAUGUAACUUGAAAGAUUGGUGAAUAUUUCCAGAUGUUGAAAUACAAAAACAGGUGGCUGAACUUAGAAACCACCAAGUGGCAGGUGACUUUGCCUGACAUCCGUGUUCACAGACCUCCACAGCCCCUGGUGAAAACCACUUCUUCAUAUCCCAUGUCCAUCUAAUUACAUGUGUUAUUUUUUGUCAUUUGCAGAGUCAACGGUUGCAGGAAAGUUUGAAGAAAGUGAAUUACAUCAAAAUCUUG
rnacentral:sRNA from 1 species